rnacentral:rRNA from 1 species
GAUGAACGCUGGCGGCGUGCCUAAUACAUGCAAGUCGAACGCAGUGGGGACGGGUGAGUAACACGUGGGUAACCUCCCAUCAGAGGGGAUAACACUUGGAAACAGGUGCUAAACCGAUACUGAUGGAUGAACCCGCGGUGCAUUAGCUAGUUGGGGAGGUAACGGCUCACCAAGGCCACGAUUCAUAGCCGGCCUGAGAGGGUGAUCGGCCACACUGGGACUGAGACACGGCCCAGACUCCGACGGGAGGCAGCAGUAGGGAAUAUUGGGCAAUGGGCGAAAGUCUGACGGAGCAACGCCGCGUGAAUGAAGAAGGUUUUCGGAUCGUAAAGCACUGUUGGUAGAGAAGCGGUAUCUAACGAGGAAGCAACGGCUAACUACGUGCCAGCAGCCGCGGUAAUUC